rnacentral:rRNA from 1 species
GACGAACGCUGGCGGCGUGCUUAAUACAUGCAAGUCGAACGAUCCCGGGACUUCGGUCCCAAUGGGAGAGUGGCGAACGGGUGCGUAACACGUGAGAAACCUGUCCCGAAGAUGGGAAUAGCCCAGGGAAACCUGGAUUAAUACCCAAUACCCUGAGAGCGUCGCAUGGCGCACUUAGGAAAUGUUCCGGCGCUUUGGGAGGGUCUCGCGGCCUAUCAGCUUGUUGGUGAGGUAAAGGCUCACCAAGGCAUCGACGGGUAGCUGGUCUGAGAGGACGAUCAGCCACACUGGGACUGAGACACGGCCCACACUCCUACGGGAGGCAGCAGUAGGGAAUCUUGCGCAAUGGGCGAAAGCCUGACGCAGCAACGCCGCGUGGGGGAAGAAGGCUCUAGGGUCGUAAACCCCUUUCAGCAGGGACGAAAAUGACGGUACCUGCAAAAGAAGCGUCGGCCAACUACGUGCCAGCAGCCGCGGUAAUACGUAGGGCGCAAGCGUUGUCCGGAUUUAUUGGGCGUAAAGGGCUCGUAGGCGGUUUGGUA